CAGUCGCCGCGGUAAAACGUAGGUGGCAAGCGUUGUCCGGAAUUAUUGGGCGUAAAGGGCUCGCAGGCGGUUUCUUAAGUCUGAUGUGAAAGCCCCCGGCUCAACCGGGGAGGGUCAUUGGAAACUGGGAAACUUGAGUGCAGAAGAGGAGAGUGGAAUUCCACGUGUAGCGGUGAAAUGCGUAGAGAUGUGGAGGAACACCAGUGGCGAAGGCGACUCUCUGGUCUGUAACUGACGCUGAGGAGCGAAAGCGUGGGGAGCGAACAGGAUUAGAUACCCCAGUAGUCCCUGUCUCUUAUAA
rnacentral:rRNA from 1 species